rnacentral:rRNA from 1 species
UACGGAGGGGGCGAGCGUUAUUCGGAAUUAUUGGGCGUAAAGGGCGCGUAGGCGGCUUUACAAGUCAAAGGUGAAAUCCCUCGGCUCAACUGAGGAACUGCCUUUGAAACUGUAAGGCUUGAGGCCGGGAGGGGGUAGCGGAAUUCCCAGUGUAGCGGUGAAAUGCGUAGAUAUUGGGAGGAACACCAGUGGCGAAGGCGGCUACCUGGACCGGUUCUGACGCUGAUGCGCGAAAGCGUGGGUAGCAAACAGG